AAAGUGCCAGUGAUGGGUUUAAAUAUACUAUGAGUGUUCACCACUAUGAACAGAACCUAAUCUGAGGCACCUC